GCCACAAACUUGGUUUAAAUAUUAUAAAAACACAAGCAUAUACACUUUCACAAAAAGGAAAAUAAAUGUGAACUUGUGAAGUGCAAUAAGCCAAUAACAGUAGUCAGUAGCAACUCAGCCGUGGACCUCAGCUUAUAUAUCUCUCUCAAUCUUGGCUUAGGAAAAUAAACGUGAAGUGCAUAUCACUGAUAUGGAAACAGUACCAACAAUUCAAGAGCAACAACGCCCCUAAACAAGAGCAUAUCACUGAUAUGGAAACACUGAAAUAGUAGCAGAAACUAGCAGUAGCAGAAGAUGAACAUGUGAACCAACACCCCCCUCUGAACAACAGAACAAGUGCAAUAACAGUAAUUCAGUAGCAGCUGCCAACUAGCAACAUAAUUUAACAGUAGCAGAAAAUAGAAAUGCCGACCAAAGUCUAACAGUACCAGGCUACCAGCAGUGCAAACAAUAGCAGAAAUGCAAAAUUAGUCUAACAGUACCAGCAGUGCAACAAAAAAACAAAAUUAAGUCAAUUAACAGAAGCAACAGAUUCUGAUUCUUAAAUACGGAUUCCAGAAAGAUGCUCAAGACAACGUCUAAUAUGCUUCCUUAACCAAUAUGUUCCAUUCCUCUUUGGAUUAACAUUAUAGUCUUGACCACAAUGCUUGCACUCUACUUUGCGAACUUCUCUGUUAUGUUCUUUCACCUCAAAGUGUUCACAAAUCAGAGCGUACUUUAGGAGCACGGGCAUGGUUGCACUUGAACCUAAAAAAAAUAUAAAUCAUAAGUUAGAAUAUUAUAUUUUGAUGAUAAUAAAACAAAACUACAAAAGUAUAUUACCAAACAAAUAGAGUAUUAAACUUACCACUCAAGUUGCAAGUUGCAACUAUACAUUAAACAAUGCUAGUAGUGCUUCCAUUAUUUUCCAUAUCUAAAGAUAAUUCGACCAGAUAUGCCAUACAAAUAAACAAGUAUGAUAUAUUAUUUUGAACAAAAAUACAUACAAAAUAUUAAAGCUUACCAAGCUCGAGUUCCUCAAGAUACUUCAAAUCUUCUACAACAGUAAUAGGAUUCUUCUCUUCUCUAAGCCAAUGUUGAACACAAAUAAGAGCUUGCACACAUUUAGGAGUCAAUGAAAUCCUAAAUGAUCAAGAAUACAGCCACCGGUGCUAAACACGCAUUCCGAUGCUACACUAGAAAUUGGAAUGGCCAACACAUCACGAGCCAACUUCGAAAGAAUAGGAAAUCUAGGAGAAUGUGUUUUCCACCAACUUAAGAUAUCAAAUUCUUCACUAAAAGGCGCUUGUUCUUCACUAAUGUAUUUAUACAACUCCGAUUUAGUACCCCACUUCCAUUGUCUUCCUUUUGUUUCUUCAAGUGUAGCUUCAUCCUUAUUAAAGAUGCACUUAUAACACUCUCACUAGAUGUAUUAGAUGUGUUGUUAGAUGAAGUAGAACUAGAUGGAGAUUGAGGAUAAAAUUCGGUUGAAUAUUUUUUUAGAUACUCUCCAAACAAAGAAUUCAUAUAAGCAUACACCUCAGCAUUUAUUUUCUUUCCUUUUUCCUCCCCAAAAAGUUCUUCAAGUGCUCCCUCAACAUAUUCAAAUUUGUUAUGUGGAUCCAAGACGGAAGCAAUAAAAAUUAUUAUAUUCAUCUUUUCAGGCUCACCCCAAUACUUCUUGAACUUUUCUUGCAUUCACUCAGCCAUUUUUCUCAAAUGCUCAUCCUGACUAGCUAAACACAUUUUUAAAUGAUAAUAAAGUUCAAAUACAUCCUCAAAAUGAGAAUUACAAGUGACAUAACGUGAACCUGAAACUUUUUUUAGUUAGCUCGUGAAAUCUUGCAAGAAACUCUAUCACAUUCCUCACAUUCACCCAAUCAUCAAAUUCAAGAGGAACUGCACUACUACCAUCUUCAAAAAGAUGAGGACAUUGAUAGGCAGAAAAUCCAUCAUAAAAAAGAUGCAACUUGUCAAAGGCCUUUUCAAAGUGUUGUGCCGUAUCCAACAUCAAAUAGGUGGAAUUCCACCUAGUAGAAACAUCUAAACACAACGUUUUGGUACAUUCUACCUUUACAUGUACACAACAUUGUUUAAACUUUAAUGUCCUUGCAAGCGAAAAUCUCACAUACCUCACAAUAUUGAACAUCCAAACACAGCGUUUUGGUACAUUAUACCUUUACAUGUGCACAACACUUUUUAAACUUUAAGGUCCUUGCGGGCAAAGAUCUCACAUACCUCACAAUAUUUCUAACACGUGUCACAGAAGCAUCAAGUACUUUCAAACCAUCUUGCACAAUUAUAUUUAGAAUAUGAGCCAUGCAUCUCACAUGAGGAUGUUUACCACUCAUCAUAUUAGUUUUCCACAUAUCUAACUAUUUAGACAAUUCUUUGACUAUGACAUCAUUUGAAGAAGCAUUGUCCACGGUAAUAGUGAAAACCUUAUCUAAUUUCCAUUCAAGCAAACAAUCCCUAAUAGCUUUAGCCAUCUGUUCACCCUUAUGACUAGUGAUAGGGCAAAAAUUUAGUAUUCUUUUAUGCAACUUCCAAUCCCUAUCAAUAAAGUGGGCUGUUAAACACAUAUAAUUUAUUCUUUGUAAUGAAGUCCAUGUGUAUGUUGUGAGGCAAAUUUUUGGUUGUGCUUCUCUAAAAGAACUUCUUAGAUUUUGCUUCAAUUCAUCGUAAACUUCGUAACAAUCCCUUGUUAUUGUUCUACGAGAAGGAAGACGAAAUAGUGGUUGAGUUUUUCUCAUAAACUUCAUAAAGCCUUCCCGUAAACUUCAUAACAAUCCCUUGUUAUUGUUCUACGAGAAGGAAGACGAAAUAGUGGUUGAGUUUUUCUCGUAAACUUCAUAAAUCUUUCAUUUUCUACAAAGUUAAAUGGUAGUUUAUCAAUAACUAUCAUCUCAAUUAAGGCCCUCCUAACUACCUUUUGAUCAAAUUUCCAAAUUGAUCCUUUAUCAUUUUGGCAAGAUUGAAAAUUUAUCUUUGUUUGACUAUUAUAUUUAGUAAUGUUAAGUGAGUAUUUUUUGCAUCUAAGCAAAUGAUUCUUCAAUCCUGUUGUUCCAUUCUUAGAUGAAUUAGCAGCAUAAGCUUGUUUACAAUAUCGACACUGCGGUUUUCCAAUCCCAUUAACCUCAAAUUUAUCAAAAUGGUUCCAAACGCCAGACCUAGGUUGCAUGGAUUUCCUUUUCUUGGAAUCUUGAGUAUCAAUGGUGUUGGUGUUACUAUCUACCGUAAUAGGUAAACUUUCACUUGAACCACCAUCACUUACUCUACUUGUAUCUGCCAUCUAUACAAAAUUAAAUAAAUAUAAACAUAAAUCAAGAAUCAAGAGCUAAUGGCUGAUUUCCAUACAGGUAGAUAAAGUAUGCCCAACCAAAACUAAAAUUCUAAUGAAUGGAUAAGCGGAAUUUAACUCUAGUUAGUUUUAAGUAAACUAGAAGGAAUAAUGCAUGGGAUCUGACUCUAUAAAAGGACCACAACUACUCAUGAGAAUGAUUAAAUAUCUGGCUCCAUGGUAGUAUGAGAAUUCAUGGCUAAAAUACAUUAUUUGAUCCUUCAAACAAGGGCUUGAUUCCUACAUUAGUUAUGCUUGCAUUUGGAAUACACAUUCAAAGAGUAAUAUGAAUAGAACUAAAAAUUGCCCUAAAAAUUCGAUUAUUUCUUCAAUGUCCAGUCAGAUUAAUAUGAACAGAACUACACAUGGGUCAAACACAUAGAAAAUGCAAUAUAUAUUUUAGAUACUUGCCCUAUUUUUCGAGAAAGUAUGAGUUUAGGGUUGGGUGGGGGUUUAUUGUUUUCUAUCAUGAAAAAAUAAUAAAUGAUCAGAUUCAUCAUGGAAAAUGAAAUAUCAAUGUAGGAUCGAGCUCGGAAUAGCAGUUCAUUCAAUCAGUAGUUCAGUACAACAACAAAAACGAAAUAUACCUUUGAAAUUGAAUCGAGCUCGGAAGAGGACAACGUCGUGUUCGACUUUUCGUUUGCUCGGAAUUUGUGAGGAGUGAGGAAUCGAAUCGAGGUGGAAAUCACCUAAUGCACUAAUCGCCUACUCACAGUACUCAAUAUAAGUAUCGUUGUCUAUGUCUAUCAGUACUCCUAAGUUCCUAACCUGAUGAAUUAGCAUUAGACUUUAGAGACUAAAGUGGGUUGGGGCGGGCGAUGGCCUGUUGGAAACUUGGAAUUAAAAUUAGGAG
rnacentral:lncRNA from 1 species